rnacentral:rRNA from 1 species
UUCCGUAGGUGAACCUGCGGAAGGAUCAUUAUCGAGUUUUGACUGGGUUGUAGCUGGCCUUCCGAGGCAUGUGCACGCCCUGCUCAUCCACUCUACACCUGUGCACUUACUGUGGGCUUCAGAUCGUAAAACGGGUCCCUUUACCGGGCUUGCGGAGCGUGUCUGUGCCUGCGUUUAUCACAAACUCUAUAAAGUAUCAGAAUGUGUAUUGCGAUGUAACGCAUCUAUAUACAACUUUCAGCAACGGAUCUCUUGGCUCUCGCAUCGAUGAAGAACGCAGCGAAAUGCGAUAAGUAAUGUGAAUUGCAGAAUUCAGUGAAUCAUCGAAUCUUUGAACGCACCUUGCGCUCCUUGGUAUUCCGAGGAGCAUGCCUGUUUGAGUGUCAUGAAAUCUUCAACCUGCAAGCUUUUGUGGUUUGUAGGCUUGGACUUGGAGGCUUGUCGGCCGUUGUUGGUCGGCUCCUCUUAAAUGCAUUAGCUUGGUUCCUUGCGGAUCGGCUCUCAGUGUGAUAAUGUCUACGCUGCGCCCGUGAUUCGUUUGGCGAGCUUCUAACCGUCUCAGUUGGAGACAACUUUAUGACCUCUGACCUCAAAUCAGGUAGGACUACCCGCUGAACUUAAGCAUAUCAAUAAGCGGAGGAA